rnacentral:lncRNA from 1 species
AAUUGUUCCUCUACCUUUCUAGGUUUUUGAGUGAAAAAUAAAUUUAAUUACAUACAUAUGUGGUGGGAGCCCCACUGAUAUGAGACUCAAAGAAGUAACCAAAGCAGGGAGAUUUUAUGCCUUUUAGACAAACAAUAAAUUUGUGAAGAAUUGAUAAGACAAAGAGGUUUGGACUAGGUUUGGUAAAAUUGUGAAGAAGUAACAAGUUUUGUUUAUAUAGUAUUCUUGGCCUUAAAUUCCCUAUCUCUGGUGAUAAGGGUGCCUUUUACCCUCUUGGUAUAGGGAGUGUGUUUUCAUGUGAGAGACUUAUUUCCUGCUUUCAGGGGUGCAGAGAGGGUCAAAGUGUCCUGGUACUGGCCGUUUCUCAAGUCCUCUAAUUCAAAAUAAUCAAUAUACCAGAGUGGGGUGUUUUGGGGUUACAUACUCUGGGCCCUUACAGAGAUAACACAUUACUUUCUUUACACAGUAAGGAGUUGAUCGCAUCAGUCUCCACUGCAUGAAAGAACUGAGCAGAAUGAGCUCUGAAUAUUUAUCUUUCGGAGAGGGAGGCAGAGAGCAUUGAAAGAUAUGUGGGAUAGGCAUUGAAAGGGGAUAUGAGAGUCCCAAAAACCAAUAAACGGCUGAGUGGCCCCAUGUGAUUACCAGAAUGUCAUUAAGGGUGAGGCUGGGAGAGAAGGAGAGGCCCCCAAGGGUUCUUUUCUGUCCUAAAGACUCUGAUGACUCUACUUUCUCUGUGGACUUUUGGUACUAGUGCUGCUUCCGGAAGCGAGCCCCCCGUGGACCUACUACCCAGGCAAAUCGCUGACCUCCAAGGAUGUGGAGGGGGAUGUUUGGAAGUGUUCUUUGGGGAAUGAGAGAAAGGCUACGGUGAUGACAUCUUUUUCUCUCAAGGACUUGAGGAGCCCAAGAAUAACCAAAAUUGAGAGUAAACCCAGACAAAAAUAGAUGUCACCAAUUAUUCUCAAGAAGCACUCAAUAAUAAGAUAGAUCAGCAGGCACAAUGAGGAGGUAA